CCUGCUGUCAGCACAUCACUGCCUGGAGCGCUCUCCAAAUUCCCUCUGAGAAGGAGGAUAGCAUGGCACAUACAGCAAUGGAUUUUUGCAAGAUUGAACUGUACACACGCUCAACCUGGGGGAAUUUCUGAAAGUUGCUUUUCUUUUUUUUUUUUUUUUUUAACUAUCUAUUGAGGAGAUGAGGUCCAGACUCCAGCCAGAAUCAAGGGUAGAGCUGGAAACAGGAGAAACAAAGUUCUUGUGAAAUUUUCAGACAAAUUUUGGAAGCCCACACAGCCUACACUGGUUGGACAAGCUUCAAAAUAAGUACACGCUUCUCAAAGCUUUGAUGCAUCUGGACCUUGUGGGAUUUCUGCCGUUGAAGGUCAGCUUCGCUACACCCACACCACCACUCAAAGUUAUAGAGAACUGUUCAUGGGACAUCACAUCCUCUGAGGUCUCCCCUGCCUGUCCUACAGCUCAGGGUGAAUUGUGGCCAUUACAUCCCACACUCCUUCCUGCCUGGUUCACUGCCGUCACCACCAUCGCUUGCUUUCCUCCCCCAAACCUGUCAUUCUUUUGCCUCUUUGCACAUUUCUUCAUGUCAGGUCUUUGGCUUAGAAACGACUUCUCCUGUGAGCCAAACCUCCUUAUUCUACACUUUAAAAUCCUUAUGAAAUUUGGCUUGCCUUCCAAAACUAAGCCUCAGCUCCCUUGUUACUCUUCUAAAUAUAAAACAUUUUUAUUACAUUAAGCUAUGCUGAAAAAAAGUAGGAGAAAGAAUAAGAAAAAAAGGAAAAUCCCUGCACUAAGUGUGAAGAAAGUGUUCAGCAUAGCAGCAGAUCACGUCUUUUUGUUUUGUCUUGGUAUCAUCUUGUUUGCACAUGCUCUGGGCUCACUGUCUGUAUUCCUCCUUGUGUGCCUCCUGCACUGAAAAGCCCCCUAACAGUUGCAACAAGAGGAGUGGUUGCCAGGCUUAACUGGAGAGUUCUGGAAAUGGGAAAAGCUGCCCCAUUAUCGAUCGUGCUGCACUACUAGUCCUAAAGAUAAACUUGUAUCCUAGGGUAUUCACUUAGCAUCUUUCAACUACAUUAAACUUCACUUUCUUAUACAACCGAAGGCAAGUUUGAGAUUAGUUAUUUAUAUUUUUACAGGUCCAUUUUGUUCAUUAUUUCCAAUGUAAUUUUAAUCAUUUCAACAAAGAAGUGGCUUAAUAUUCCCAAUAAUGGCACUUGUUAGUUUAAAUAUUAAAAUUCGCAUUAGAAAUUCCCUUGACUACGUGUGCAUUAUUUGCAUUAUAGAUCGGAUGCGUCUCGGUGUCUCUCUCUCUAUAUGUAUAUGUUCAUGCACAUGUAUGUAUUUUCCAGAAAAUGCAGUUUUAAAUGAUCCUAUCUGAGCUGAGAGCACAUAGCAAAUGCCAAAGCAAUUAGUGAUAAACAAGGUCCUAACACGCCAAAAUUAAAAGCUGCUAAUUUUCAACUUUAAAUAAAUCCUUAUUGUAUAGCAGAAAUAAUUCCUCAUAAAGCGUUUCCAACAUUCAGAGAAUGCUUUUAGGACAUACAGCAUUAACAUAAUUUUUUCGACUGGGGUUCUCACAGGACAUCUGAUGAAGUCUCUACCCUUAAUUUUAAUUGCGUAGGCUGCAUUCUUAAUUAAAAACUGUACAAAUGGAUUUUAUGCCAUGCCAAAAGAAAUCUGAGUUCAUUAGUUAUAAAACCUUUUAAAAAUUGAUGUAAAUAUGUGAAUUCUUUAAAAGUUUGAACUUGGAGUCCUCAUUUUAUGUUGAGUAGCCUUUU